UAACCAAUCUAUCUUUGGAUUGAUGUUACUGACAAUCUAUGGUAGAAGCACCACCUCAAAUGCUUGGAUACCUUUAUUCCUCUUUCGUCUUCCCCUUGUUGCGACAGUAUCAACAAAUCCCAUCGAUCAACAAACCCCUUCCAGGAUUGCUUCCAAAAUUGAACGACGGUUUCUCAUCGCCUGGUACAACCGACCGGGUUUCGCUUCCAUUUUAUCUGUUUUGGUUUAUACAUGGCCAUCGUUUCCCCCAAUUCAUUUACAGAUCGUGAACGGGAGAAAAUCACAAGACCAAUUUAUCUCCCAUGUCUACCUGAUUAGUACCGAGGAACGAAAGUAUAAGGGUGGGGGUCGGAAUUCACAGUAGCAGUUCAUGGUUGCGGUGACUAGGCGAUAGCAGCUCGGUGAAGGCGGGUGUGACCGGGACUCCAGUCAGCGGCGAUGGCAGCUCCGCUGCUUCCACUUUCCUAUUCCGAUGAGUCCGACGAGAGGGAAAGACAAAGGCCAGAGGUUGAGGAAUUUCGAUGAGGGGCUGGUCACGGUGGCGGCAGGAGCUGCUCCAACGGCUCCUGUUGCUUCGUUCCCGGCGAUUUCGUCGAGUGGGAAAGGGCAGGGAACAAUCCGAUCACCACAGACGAGUUCGGUGGUGAAUUUGGGUCAAGAGAUAGUGUUUCUUGGAUGGUGCUCGCUCGGCACAACAACAACACCACCAUCACCAUCACAUGCCUUCUUCUUCUGAGAAUCGUUGACUUCAAGUUCUACGGUAUCAGCAACCUGUCGAUUCUGCAUCUCCUUGCAAAUCCAGUUACGAUACUGAUCGAUUUUGCUUUGCACACCUCCAAUUGUAGAAAUCAUGUAUCAACCAAAGAAUGCCCUAAGCUUUGAUGUAUUUGUAAGAAGUGAAAACUGUACAUGCUCAAUCGACAAUUUUUUUCCGGUGAUUGUUCAUUUUGUUCUCCAUCUAUCUAUUGCAUUGAUUUCUUUUAUUCCUUUUCGUCCUUUGGUUUAUAUUUGCUGUUACAGAUGAAGAUGAAGCUACUGACAUGAUUAAUAAUUUUCCAAAGGCCUUUGGUUUAUAUUUGCGGGCUCAUCUGUCGAGCAAAAGAAAAAGGAAAACGGAGGCAACUUGGAUUCAGGUAAACAUUUACAGUUAAUAUGUUUGGUUUUCCUUCUUUGGCUAAUCGGAAGAAAAGAGACAUGAUAUUGAUAGCAGACAAACAAACAAAUUUCUUUGAUGGUUGAUGGGUUUGAGGUAUGUAUUCUUCUUUGAAUCUUUUACAUUUGAUUAUUUUGGAAACGAUUUGCCUAUGAAUAGGGAACUAUAUUUUGCAGGAAAAUAUAUAUUUGGCUCUCCGGAGUCCAACCAAGAAUUAGCAGUUGUCUCUCUUAACUCCACAAGUGGUGAACACAUGAAAACCAGUCGCUCAGAAUUACAAGAAGCCUCACUACAACUCUUAAUGUUCUCAUUGUCAAUAGGUGGUGAACUAGCAACCACACCCACAUGAUAUGGUUGGGGGAUGGAGACAAGUAUAUGGUCAUUUACAGAUAUUUUAUUGAUGUUUUGGUACUAUAUUAAAUAAAUGUUCCGGACAACUUUUGAAUGUUGAUAAAUGGUUGCUGCUUUUUAAUCAAACGUACAUUGCUAUUAUGGGUUAAAACCGAAGCAUAGUGCCUAUAUUUGUAUAUGAAUUGAAAUUUUAAAAUUACAAUUAAAAAAAUAGAUAAUUUGUUUCAACUUUGUAUGGAGUUUUCUUUUCAGGUCUUCAUCUUAUAAAACAUUCAAUGUAUGGUUCUUCAAGGUAUGUGAAGCUAAAAAAGUUGAACAUGAAACUCACUUAGAAAGAAAACCUAUCUGAUGCACCAAGAGAUGAAUAUGAUGAUAUGCUUCAUGCCCUAAGUCCUUGACAUUAUAAAGAAUUCAGAUUAAGGAAGUCAUGGGUUUUGUAUUAGAUAACAUGGAAACUGCUAGAAAGAUAAAUAUUCCAGUUUCUAUUUCACAUCUGGUAAGGGUAAGAUGGUCAUUUAUAUAAAAUCAGUUUUUUAGUGUAUUAGUAUUCCUUUGUUUCUUAAUUAGCUUUAUUGGUUAAUGAUGUAUUUUCCAAGCAAGCAUCAAUAUAUUAGAUUUCCUCCAAAUGCUUAAUUUCUUUUUGAUGGGACAACAUCAACACAUGAUGUCCUUUUAUCUUAUACAAAUACAAUAAUAUUAUAGAAUAAAAAUAAAAAAUAGUAAAUAUUUAUUAAAAAGGGCAAUAUGUUCAUUAUACUUCAAGUAGGAACCGAAAUUUCUAUAAAAUCCCUCAAACAACGACUUCAAAUUCAUUUCGAGUUUUAGGUUCAAAUAACUUUUUGAGGUUUAAAUGGAAAUAAUUAAUUUUUUGUUUAUAAUCUUAUUAAUUGUUCAUUAUUAUAUGUUGAUCUGGAAAUGGUUAUUUUACAUGUGGUUACUGUAAACCGUUAUCUCUGUCAUCAAUUUCAUGGACAAAAGUCUUUUCUAGAUUUGCUUUUGGGGAUAAAAAAAUGUUACGAGUUCUGUCUGAUAACCACAUUUAUAAUUUUCAAAAAAAGUAAGGAGACGAUAAUUUUAAUUUAGAUUAACAAAUAUUAUUGUUUCUUUAAAUUAGUGUUAAGUGUUGGCUGCUAAUUACUUAUUCAUGUCGUUUCAGACCUUAAAGUUGGCAAUGGUUUAUUAGAAGACAUGGCUCAGGCAUGACGUCGCAAUGGGAACAAAUGAAAGUAGGGAGCUAUAAAAAAUUAAAUGAAGUACAUUGCUUUUUCUUGCAUUAAGCUAUUUUGAUAACCUGCUUAUUGACAAAAAGUAUGUUUUUCUUUAUUAUCUAUUUUCACAAAUGAAUGGGAACUGAAAAAACCAAGACUCCCAAAGAAGAGUGGUCAUAAGUAGGACCAGAAUGUGUAUUGGGUGAGAUGAACGCAUGGAGUUGUAUGGGAUACUUCUUUAUGGCACAUGCAUGAGGUACUUAACAGAUCCCAGAGCCACAAAACAAAUUAAAUAGAUUUUAUCUUUGAUUGCAAAUUGAAUCAUCAAAUGAUUAAAUAUGCAUUUGAUUCAAAUUUUCAACCAACCUGUUUGCUUUAAGAUUCUUGAAGAUUAGUUACUUGGUAUUGUCAUCCGUGUGUUGUGAAUGAUUAUUGGGGAUGAAAAAAAUGAAGUUAGUUGAGAUUUGAAUGAUAAGUGAAGUUGUACUCAUGUUUGUAAAUUUUUCUUUUGUAUUAUGCUUUGUUGUCAACAAAGGUCUCAAAGUAAUAAAGUACUUGCAUAUACUCCAAAACACCAACAUAGCAGUUCACCCAUCCCUUGAAACACAUUACUAUACUUCCAAGUGCUCUUGCAUCUUGAGUAAUUCCGUUAAUGCUUACAAUUCUUUAUAUAGCUUGUGGUUUUCGGUUGCAAAGAAUAGCAACAUACUUUACUGUGGCUACCAAUUCGGCCUACGUACUAUAGUUUCACAAAAAAUGACACCUUCCGACCCUCGCAACGUGGGGGAAAUCCUUCUGGUUGACGUUGAAUUUGUUAUUGCAAACUUUUGUUAGCCUUGUUUUAACCAUAUAUCUUAUAGUUUUGUGUCGAGUUUAUAUUAUAACUAGACGAAUGUUCGUGCGUUGCAAAGAAACACCUAUAUAGUUGAAGUUUUUACAAAUAUAUGUUUUUUAAAAUAUAACAAUAACGUUGUUGUUAAAUUUGAUAUAAUGAUUCAUAUAUACUAAAUUGAUAUAAUAUAUUGAUUAUUUUGAAUUUUAUAUAUAUAUAUAUAUAUAUAUAUAUAUAUAUAUAUAUAUAUAUAUACUAUCUUAUAAAAAAAAUCUAACUAUUUCUAAAAAUAGAUUAAAUAUAAAAAUAUUAUUUUUUAAAACGUCCAAACCAUUAAGCUACUGGUACAAGUGACCAUUAAUAAAAUAAUAUUAAAUUUUAACCAUGUUUUUUAAUCCUUAUAAAUCUGAUCUUCUUCCCUUAAUUCAGGGUUCAUUCAAAAUUUGAAAGUCUUCUCAUCCAAAUACGCUUCACCAAAUAUCUUAAAUUCUGCAUAUAUUGACUUGCUCUUCAUCUUCACCCAAUUGAAUCGUUUAAUCCGAGAUCCAUAAACCCUACCCAAACUCGAUCUUCGUUGCCAUUAUAACCAAUCGAGACCUUCACGACAUCACCCAUCAUCCAAACAUCAGCCACCAUCACUGAUGUCCUAGGGUUCGCCAUACCCAUCGUCAUCACCGAUCCACUAUCUGUAAAUCCUCAAAAUCUUGCUGCUAGAGUAUUUAAGAGUUUAUCGCUUGGGUUGCUUGCUCUGAUAUCUGCUUUACGUCAACAUUUUCAUCCUAUUUACACUUAUUAGUUAACAUUUGGUGGUAUUUAGUUUGUAGCUUACAACGUGAAUUGAAGGUCACCCUGAUAACUCCUUCCAAAAAAGGAUAUCAACGAUUUCGAUUGUUCUUGAGCGGUCUCUCUCUCUCUCUCUCUCUCUCUCUCUCUCUCUCUCUCUCCUAUAACAAUGUGUUAAUUUCUCCAUUUCUUAUGUAUCUCUAAUUUGUUCUUAUUUUUGUGAUUAGGGCUUGAUCAACACGGCUAGAUUUUCCAGGUUCAGAUUUUUGUAUUUUACUUUCCCAUAUGCAAUCGAAGAUGCAAAAUCUACAAAUUGUUGUUGUUAUUUAUUCCCAUCUCGAAUUAUAGAUUCAAUUCCAUUUAGCAUAUACGUAGCCUUUCUCUCUCAAUCUCAUUGUAUCCUUUCAUCCUCCCAAUCAUUUUAAAAAACACUCGUCCCCCUUUAAUCCUUGAUCGAUUUAUGUUGAAUCCAAUUGUUUCUCCCCUCAUCCGCCUUCAUAAUCUGGACAGUGCCAAUCUAUAUCAGUAAGUUCUAAAAUUAGCACAAUGUUCUCGUGGGUUCCAAUAGUUGACACUAUUAUACCCUAGGCACCACAUUCACCGGAUUUGCAAAUAUUAUACAAACAAGAUGUAUGAUUUUAAACCCAUAUAAUUGUUUAUCUUCCUCUUAUUUUUGUUUAUGUUUAUAAAUUUUGUGAUUAGGUCUUGACAGAAUCCUCUCAUAAUUUAGAAGUUGAGGUAUUGGGUGAUUGGAAAUGUCCCUGAUCACAAAUCUUCACGUUGCAUCUAGAUCUAUGUGUUUUUUUUUUCCAUAUGGAGUUCUUUUUAUUUCCAUGAAUUUUCACCAUUUUCCAUAGUAAGAAAUAUCUUAAUAUUAAAAUGUUUAUUUGAGCAGGUUUUCAUGAAUCUCAUCUUUGUUGGCUUCAACUACAUCACAGGUUUGAACUUUAUGGGUAAACUGGAAUUUUUACAUCUACUAUGUUAAGACUGUUUGCUUUUUGUAAUGCAUGUAUAGCUUCAAAAGUAAUAGUGCUUAUUUGCCACUAGAAAUACAAUUUAUGUCUCGAUUCUUAUGUGUUUCACUGUGUACCUUGCAGGCAAGUAAUUAUAGCGUAUCAAUUUUUCAAAAUGACUGCCAGUUUAGACAGGAAUAUUGAAGGCAGAUCUCCAACUCUUUUUAUCUUUUCUAUUUUACCUUAGUGAAGCUUAAUUAUUAGUUCUCUAUAUCCAACAUGUGCUCCUAAAACUACUAGAAGUGACAAUUCUUAUGCAAAGCCAGCUUUAAAGCCUAUCAAUCUGGAUGGACUUACUCUGCCACGUUUACAGAUUCUGGUAAAGAGCAUGAAGAUUGAUAACUCAUAUACAUCAUGGUAAAGAGAAAUACAGAUGUUGAAAAAUAUAGCCUUUAUUAUAUAACAUCACAAAAGUUUUGGGGCAUGGAAGAGAUAAUUAAGUUUCCUUAUUGUUGUUUUGGUCUGAUUGGGCUACCAUUUCCAACAUGUCUCAUGAAGCAAUUAGAGAGACUACAUCUCCAUUCAUGAAUCAAAAUGGAGAUAUUUUUUUUACUACUUUGCUGAAGCUGAAUCUAAGGGGCUGUUUAUUUUUUUAGUCUAGGCUUUCUGUUACAACAUUGUUUUUACAGAGAGGAUUAACGAAGGAACACAAAUCUAUCUCUGGGUCUUUAUGCCCCAACAUAUUGUAUUGUGUGGAACCAAUUUUUGGGAUAACAUUAUGCAUACAAACUGUUUGAUAAAUGUCUUGGUUUAUUUUACGAGGAAUGAGUCAUUUUUAUUUUUUAUUUUUUAUUUUUGUUUUAGUAGUUCAGUUUCUUGGAUAUACUUUUUGUUCUGGUGGAAUAAAGCCCCAAUGAAGGUGCAUAUGACUUUAUUGAAAAGCUCCAGAUGGUCAUAGAUGUUUAGGGUGGACCACACCACUAAAUAAGAUGAAGUAGCUUUAUUCCAAGGAGGAUUCAUUUGAUCUUCAUUGUGUUGGUGUUGAACAAUAUGUUGGUAUUUUUAUGAUUCAAAGUUUAUUCUGUCUCUUUUUCUCUAAAUUUGAAUCUAAAAACUAAUCUAUUUCUUGAUGUGUUGGGAAUGAUUUCCUUGCAGAUGGAGUUAUUAGGUUUUCUACUUUUUUAGAAGUGAUAAACAUUGGUUUGAUGGAUUUUACUUAUCUUACUUAUUUGACAUCUGUUUCUUGUAGGUUAUACGAAGAACUUAAUUAAAGUGUGGGUAACAGAAAGAGCAGGACGACCCUAAUCAUAUGUUGAAGGUACCUGAUUAAGGUAUGUCAAAGGCUUUUAAUGUAGAACAUUGUUGUGUUUCUUAAGAUGAAGAGAUCGUAGAAGAUCUAUUUUUGCAUGCUCCUAUUGUCGUUCCUGUUGCCAUUAUGGCUCCUGUUGAAUGAGUGUUUUUUUUUCUAAAAGAUUUUUAACACACUUUUUUUUAUAUUUCUUUAUUUUUAUUGUUUUACCUACUCAUUAACAAAUCAAUGAAAUUACAUGCUAUAUCAUUUUCCAUCUCUAA